rnacentral:rRNA from 1 species
AACGACUCUCGGCAACGGAUAUCUCGGCUCUCGCAUCGAUGAAGAACGUAGCGAAAUGCGAUACUUGGUGUGAAUUGCAGAAUCCCGUGAACCAUCGAGUCUUUGAACGCAAGUUGCGCCCCAAGCCUAUGGCCGAGGGCACGUCUGCCUGGGUGUCAC